UUCACUGAUAUGUUAUGAGCACUUUGUGCCAUUUUGGCUGGCUGAAAUGGCAUUCAUGAUUGCUUUCUUUUUUUCUAGAGUGUCUGAGAGAAAGUAAGACAUGCUAGCAUAUUCUCUGCAUUAUUUAUGCUAUCGUUUUGCAGGUUACCAUAGGGAUACAGCACACACAGAAAUGAGACUCGAAGAGAAUGAGGAGGAAGACAGAGAAGCUUCAGGGCCAGGAGGGUUGUGAGGACUUUCCUCUGCAACGGCGCAGUAACGGAGAUGGUCUGGAGCCUGAUGCACCUCAAGUGUCAGCCUGUGCUUGGAUGCAUCAAAGGAUGAAUUCGAAGGAGAACGUGUUGCCAGUGGAAGCACACGACCCACUGUGCAUCUUUCUGGAUUAUGAAUUGUAAAGCAAGUGGAACAGAUCCCGGGCUGAGCUCUGCAGCUCUGAUGAUGGGAGAACAGUUUCCUCCUUUCACCAUUAAGAGCAACACCGUACUGGGGUGUACUGGAAGAAAGGUGAUUGAUUAAUGAAGCUGAAUCUACAGAAAUACUGCUUUACACUCCUGCCAACAUCUUCAGAGGCAAAACAAAGAUCUCUUCUCCAAGCAGAGCAUUGGCCCCAGAGCAGAAUCCAGAAGAUCUGCCACAGAGUUCGCAUUUGCUGAAAAUGGGGUUGUGGCUGGCUUCAAGAUAUACUACACUCCGUUUUUUCUUUGAUUCACUGCAAAUGGUAUAUCGAAAGCUGGAAGAGGGGAAAUGUAAAAUGGCAAUGGUCAGAAGGAGAGACGUUGUCUUUGCUAUUUACAGUUUUUCACUGUUUUUGCUCUCUUGAUAUAACUGCCUUGGUGGAUGUCUUUGUUUUAUCUUCUCGUGACAUUAUCCAUUCCUGGAUGGUCUCGCACACUUUCUUCAACUUUUUUUUAAGCUUACAAUAUUGAGAUAGUACGUGUUUAAAGCAUCUGUUGCCCGUAAAAUCUAUGAAGUUGAUAAUCUCCCAUGCCGUACUACUUUUCUAAAGAGAUCACACAUGGCAUUUAAGGCACCACUUCAGAGCAAUUGGAGGACCCUGGCAUUUCAUACUUCCAUGUGAGUGAGAGCCUCAUGUCUUCCUCCAGUAUUUAUUGUUGGGGACCAUGGUCUAAAAGAGUCUUUUUUCCUCAGCUCCUGUGCUCUCAUUUGCCGGAAGUGCAACAUAAUCAAAGCACUAGAUUGGAUGAGAUUUGCGAAAACUGGGAAGAAGGAAUGUGUGUAUAGUAAUAACUUUCAAAAAUGUAAAGACAGAAGAGGGAAUUAUGAUCUGCAUGGAAUGAGAUAUUGCCGAAUAGUUCCCAAAUGAGUACAUUGAAUUAUGUUAAAACAUAGCUGAGCUUUACUUGUAUGUUUUCUCUCUCCCUGCAUUUCUGAGCAAAUGGUAAAUAAAUUCAUAUAAGGUACUUUAGCCAGAAAAAAUAAGUACAAAUCUUCUUGUCAGUUUGAGCAUACAAAAGUUUCAUUUGCUCUGUUGUCUAAUACAGAUGUUUUCUGGAUUCUCUAUGACACUCAUAGUAUCAUAGACAGGCAGCAGUCAGGAAUCUUCAGUCAAUUGUGGAUGUUAGUUUAGAAGGUGAUUCAAUUCAAUGGAUUAAGCAAAAGCUGCCAACAAGGAGAGCUGUGAGUUCUGUUUUGUCUGCGAGUAGAGGUUUCCAGUGACACAGAUGGCUGAAGAAGUCAUUGGCAUGAUAUACAAGCCAAUGAACCAUUAGCACUGGGACAUAAAAUAUGCGAUAGACAUUUUAAGGCCGAAUUAGUUAAUUUUGUAGUAGCAUUAACCACUUAGGAAGACAUUCAGUUUGGUUUUCCACAAAAAUGUGGUUUGGAAGGAACCUAACCAUGCACACCUAGACUCUAGUAAAAGUAUGGAAGCUGGAUGACUAAAAUGAGGCUUCUGACUCACACAGAUGUGCUUAGCCUUCUCAUUUGGGAUCUCCAGGUUUUUACUGUGUGCGCUAUGUGUCCACCACAUGAACCAGAUAUGCAUAGCAUCAAGAGACGAAAAUAAUGCCGUUGUGCCAAAAGCACAAUGCUAAGCUACUUAAGCUACAGGAACACAUUAAUUAUUUUCAGUGUUAGGAUUACAGUGUAUGUUCUCCUUGCAAAGCAAUUACUUAUUUACAAACACUUAAAAAUCAUAUGAUUCAGCUGAAUAUAUUUUUAAAUGCUCCAUCCUUAUGGAAUAUGCAGACACACAUGCACACACAUACACUAUAUACUAUAAAUAUGUCUUUUUAUAUAUAUGGUAAAUUGAGAUUUGCUGGGAUUCAUGUAUAAUACAAUCGCUUAUGCUAAGACAUGUUAUAUAUGUAACUAUACAUAUAGAUGCACAGAUCCAUACAAAUGGACAUUUAAAUGUUUUGGUAAAUGAUACAUGUUUUUGAAUCUUGCUCGGAUGAAUAUAUGGGCUUAAUAGUUAUGUUUUAGGUUUAAAUUAACUUACAUGUAUUCUCUGCAGCUAGAGGAGUUUAUUACUCCAUAAGAAGGCUGUGCCUCCAGCUCUCAAAUUUCCUGAUAGCUUCAAUUUGCGAGGGGAUGUCAUUCACAAUUGUACUAUCUUUUCUUAUAUGAAGUUCAGCAUUAUUACUUGGUCAUGUGUAAACAAAGCUUCAAGUUUUAUCUUCCAUUAAUGAAGCUGAAAUGAGUUAAUAUGAAACAAAGUGAGAGAGCUAGAACAUGCCAAUAUUAAUUCUUUCUUUAUUGCUUCUGGGGUUGGAAUGAACGAAAAUGUCCAUUAUCAUCAAUUUGUUUUCAUUCCCUUACUUUCCCUAGUGACAAUUAUUUUUUAAUCAAAUCAUUUGUUUGAUAUUGCAAAUGUCUAUAAUUAGUACAGAAAUAAAUGAAGAGGUGGUCAGGCUUAGGUGGUUAUAAGUGUAGUGGGGCUUUUUAUUUCCAGAGAAAAUGCAAAGACUUCUAGUAAUAGCAUGAGGUAGGACAAGAAGAGUCCAUUAGCAUGUUGGUGGUUAGCAUUCCUGAGUCUGCAACUAAUUUCUACUUGUUUAAUUUCUACAUUCUACAUGUUCUACACUAAUUUCUGCAAGUUUAAUGGUAAAUAUUUGUUAUCAUUUAAUAUUCAUGGCAGUUUAUAAGAAUGCUUGAAGUAAAUUGAACCAAUUAAUGAAAAGACGUAAGUCAGCCUUUGAACUUAUUUUAGGAGGAUUUUGUCAAAAAGAUUUUUCUGAGUUUGUUAUUUGUCUUUGGUACCAACCUCUAACAUUCCCAGCUCUUUUUCCUCUGCAAGUUCAACCAUGGCCCCAAGUCCCCUCCUGAGAGGAGCCUUCGCUAGCUUGUUGUGACAGGCUAUUCUGAGCCAAAAGCCAGCCUUCUGGGUGGAAUUUGACUAUUACUGGGAUGCAUUCUUUUGUGAAACGGCUGCAGCAUAGUGUCUUGCUCCUUCAGUAACACUUUGCAUAUUCCACCAUACAAAGUCUUAAUUAAACUCUAACAUAAAGAUGUGUCAGAUCAGAGCAUGCAUGUUUCAAUCGCACUGCAGUCCACAUGCUUGCAAAUACCUGAGCUAUGAAGAUUUUCACUACAUCCAUUCUAUGUGAAGUGUGAAGCUGCUACAGUUCAACCUGGGAAGCUAGGUUUGUAUUUUGUAAAACUGUAUCAGUCUAGGUUUAGUUUUGCAAAAACAAAACUAGAGAUGAAUAAGAU